rnacentral:rRNA from 1 species
AGGAUUACCCCCCACACUGGUACUGAGACACGGACCAGACUCCUACGGGAGGCAGCAGUAAGGAAUAUUGGUCAAUGGGCGAAAGCCUGAACCAGCCAUGCCGCGUGCAGGAAGACGGCCCUACGGGUUGUAAACUGCUUUUGCAGGGGAAUAAACCUCCGGUCGUGACCGGAGCUGAAUGUACUCUGAGAAUAAGGAUCGGCUAACUCCGUGCCAGCAGCCGCGGUAAUACGGAGGAUCCGAGCGUUAUCCGGAUUUAUUGGGUUUAAAGGGUGCGUAGGCGGCCUAUUAAGUCAGGGGUGAAAGACGGUAGCUCAACUAUCGCAGUGCCUUUGAUACUGAUGGGCUUGAAUGGACUAGAGGUAGGCGGAAUGUGACAAGUAGCGGUGAAAUGCAUAGAUAUGUCACAGAACACCAAUUGCGAAGGCAGCUUACUAUGGUUUAAUUGACGCUGAGGCACGAAAGCGUGGGGAUCAAACAGGAUUAGAUACCCUGGUAGUCCACGCCCUAAACGAUGAACACUCGAUGUUAGCGAUAUACAGUUAGCGUCUAAGCGAAAGCGUUAAGUGUUCCACCUGGGGAGUACGCCCGCAAGGGUGAAACUCAAAGGA